rnacentral:rRNA from 1 species
GUUGAGCGAAGCUUUUUGGUAGUUUACUACUAGAAAUGACUGAGCGGCGAACGGGUGAGUAACGCGUGAGCAAUCUACCUUAGUUACUGGGAUAGCCCGAGGAGACUCGGAUUAAUACCGGAUAUUCUUAUUUUUUCACAUGAAGUUUUAAGGAAAGGUCAGCCGAACUAAGAUGAGCUCGCGUUCUAUCAGCUAGUUGGUGGGGUAAAAGACUACCAAGGCUACGACAGAUAGCUGGUCUGAGAGGACGAUCAGCCACACUGGGACUGAGACACGGCCCAGACUCCUACGGGAGGCUGCAGCAGGGAAUAUUGUGCAAUGAGCGAAAGCUUGACACAGCGACACCGCGUGUGGGAUGACGGUUCUAGGAUUGUAAACCACUUUCAGGAGGGAAGAAAAUGACGGUACCUCCACAAGAAGACCCGGCCAACUAUGUGCCAGCAGCCGCGGUAAUACAUAGGGGUCAAGCGUUGUCCGGAUUUAUUGGGCGUAAAGAGCUCGUAGGCGGUUCAACAAGUCGGUCGUAAAAGUUUAGGGCUCAACCCUAAAAUGUCGAUCGAUACUGUUGUGACUAGGAUACGGUAGAGGUGAAUGGAAUUCCGAGUGUAGCGGUGAAAUGCGUAGAUAUUCGGAGGAACACCAAUUGCGAAGGCAGUUCACUGGACCGUGAUCGACGCUGAGGAGCGAAAGCUAGGGGAGCAAACAGGAUUAGAUACCCUGGUAGUCCUAGCUGUAAACGAUGGAUACUAGAUGU